UCCCCCUUCAUGAAUAAAGGCUGGAUGGAAAUGUUUAGAAGCCCAGCACUCUGUGGUGAGUUCUGAGUUUAAAAGGAUGGAGCUGGUUUAGAAUAGCAAAUACUCAAGAGUUCAGUUAGAAAUUGUGCGGUGCUAAAUGUGGAGGGCUAGUUAACUUUCUAUUGAAUUUUAAUGGAGCUUUUUGUUUUGGUUCUCAGAUGAAAUUUGAUUUCUGUGCCUGUUAAUUAUUCCACUGAGAAUUAAAACACGCGGUCAUUGAUCAAGUCUCAUUACAUGUAGGGCACAGUCUUUCUCACACCUGGGAAAGCACUGUGAACGCAAACCUCAGGCUCACAGUUUUAUAGGACAAGUAGUUCUGUAACUGGAAGGACGUUUUGGUGGGAGGUUUAGUGCUGUGAUUGGGUAAGCUCAGAACUGGAGGUAGACAUUUAUCUCUGUAAUGAACUCUUCAGUGGAUUUUCCUGGUUAAUUGCAUCCCAGGUGAGUUAAAUGGCAAGCUGAUUAAGGGCAGAGGGGAAUGAGGAGGUGAGGCAGGUGAGCCUAAGCAACUGGGGCAUCUAUAAAGGAAGGCAGUUAGAAGGCUUCCAUGCUUUCUUUUUCAGCAGGGCUCAUCUGGCAGCUGAGUGGAGUUAGCAGGAGAUGAGAGAGGUCUUCUACUCCCAUCUGUGCCCAUAAAGCAAACUGGACUGCUGCUUGGGUGGGAGACCUACAGAGCAUUAUGGUUGCUAUCGGCGGUGGAACUAAAGGUGGCAUUUUUAUUCCUUGAAUCAACAGUCAGCCAACACCCUCACCUGGUAUUCAAGGUUGCGUGUCUCCUGCCAGGAUGUCCCGCUGCCUUCUGGAAUUAAUGUGGCUGAAAUAUCCCUCAGGAUUCUCCUUGAGGUCAGGAACUCAGCCUCUGGAUCCUCUUCAGUUCUCCUUUCUAGCCCUGAAAUUUGUUGUUGCCAAGUGAAUUUUGCUUCCCCAUCCCAUUCUUCAUAUUUUCCAAGGUCACCUCUCACUGGCAAGGAAAGAUUUGGAGAGAAGACACAGAGGGGAAAGUCCAGGCCUGGAUUGCCUUUUUACCUCUAUAAUUUCAGACCCACUUCUCUCAUCCCUGAGAUCGUUUAAUUGGUGCUCUGUGAUGUGCUACAGUGCAAGUUGUUGGCACUUCCGAGAGUGUUGAGUCAUUCUAAUGUUACUGGGAAUUUAUUUGCCUUCCACAAGGAAUAUCUUUUUUGCUUUUGUUGCUGACAGACCAAGGAACCCUUCCUUUCAGCUUUCUUUUUUUCUUUUCCACUGUUUGUUUAGCUGAAAAUACCUUACCUGUUCCUCUAUUGUGUCUCAUCCCAAACUCAGAAGUGUCUUCCAAAGACACCCAUCAUAAACCAAACUGUGCUGCAUUCCCCCUCUUUCUGUUCCCAGUCACUUCACCUGAGCAAACCUUUUCAUCUCACAGCUGUUCUCAGGAAUGGCACUGAGAGUCUUUUGACUCAAGUUUCUCUUCACUGACAUCUACUCCAAAUCCUGAAGAUCUGGAACUAGCUGGCAAACCAGAAGGAAGAGUUUUCUUCCAUUUUCAUUCAUGGUGCUUUUUAUUGCUUCCUUCCUCCCCUCCUCAUAUUGUGCCCAGUGAACUUUUAAAGCAGGUCAGCAUCUUGUUUGUCAGAAAAGCAUUUGGCUCACUGACAGUUUCCAGAUUUGUGCAGCUAAUCACACUGUGCCUAACCUGAAACCUUCAUAGGGGUCUAUGCAUCCCUUUUGCUAUACGUUCUGGAUUGUUUUAUCCAGACUGAAAAUGAUGGAUCUAGAACAUUUGGUCCUUAUGAAUCCACCCUGCAGCCCUUUCUACUUGCAGACCUCAACCUUCUCCUCAUGUCCAGCAGAGCAGAAGGGUCUCAGGCUCCAGCAAAAACUCAUAUAGGAAAAGGUUAAACAUGAAAUCCUCCAGCAAACCGGUCUCCUGCUGAGAUAUGAGGGCUGCUCUGAAAGCAGUGGCUCCUGUUUUCUUAUUUUGGUGCAUGACAUCAGAGGCUGAUAUUGGUGGUACGGCAGUAGAAGUUGAAUCUUCCCACCGAUAUUUCAUUACCUUUUGUUGCUGUAUGAUAAAUGUCAGCAGAGGGGCAGUCUGACAAAACGGUGUCUGAUGUGGAAGUGCAAAUGAAGCAAAGACAUGUCACGGAGUUCCUCUACUUACAUUCACUGGCACUUGCUGGACACUUAUGGAGACCAAACAAUGCAUGUGAGCACAGAGAGGCAGUGGGUGGUUCAUUUCAGCAGCGGCAACAGUGAUGUAUGACAAGCAACAUUCUGGGCAGCCAUGCAGAUUUUUCUGAGCGCAGCAUGCAGGCUCUUGUUCAUUGCUGGUGAAAAUGCAUAGCUAAUGGUGGUGACUCUGUUGGAAAAUAGCAUUUUUGUUGCUGAGAAUUUGUUCUAUCAAAUAGUAUUCUUGUGCUCUUUGUUUCUGUGGUAGUUUCCAUGGAAAUAAAUAGGAGAUGUUACUUUCA
ensembl:lncRNA